GGGGGUGUAGUUUACUUGGUAAAACAUAUGCUUUGCACGCAUAAGUAAGUGGUUCAAAUCCGCUCAUCUCCA
rnacentral:tRNA from 1 species